AAAGUGCUUUGGGCUGUCGCAGAUGGAUGAGCCUGCGUUGGAUUAGCUAGUUGGUGGGGUAAGGGCUUACCAAGGCUACGAUCCAUAGCUGAUUUGAGAGGAUGAUCAGCCACAUUGGGACUGAGACACGGCCCAAACUCCUACGGGAGGCAGCAGUGAGGAAUAUUGGACAAUGGGGGCAACCCUGAUCCAGCAAUGCCAUGUGUGUGAAGAAGGCCUUAGGGUUGUAAAGCACUUUAGUUGGGGAAGAAAGCUUUGAGGUUAAUAGCCUUGAGGAAGGACGUUACCCAAAGAAUAAGCACCGGCUAACUCCGUGCCAGCAGCCGCGGUAAUACGGGGGGUGCAAGCGUUAAUCGGAAUUACUGGGCGUAAAGGGUCUGUAGGUGGUUUGUUAAGUCAGAUGUGAAAGCCCAGGGCUCAACCUUGGAACUGCAUUUGAUACUGGCAAACUAGAGUACGGUAGAGGAAUGGGGAAUUUCUGGUGUAGCGGUGAAAUGCGUAGAGAUCAGAAGGAACACCAAUGGCGAAGGCAACAUUCUGGACCGAUACUGACACUGAGGGACGAAAGCGUGGGGAUCAAACAGGAUUAGAUACCCUGGUAGUCCAUGCUGUAAACGAUGAGUACUAGCUGUUGGAGUCGGUGUAAAGGCUCUAGUGGCGCAGCUAACGCGAUAAGUACUCCGCCUGGGGACUACGGCCGCAAGGCUAAAACUCAAAGGAAUUGACGGGGACCCGCACAAGCGGUGGAGCAUGUGGUUUAAUUCGAUGCAACGCGAAGAACCUUACCUGGUCUUGACAUCCUGCGAGCUUUCUAGAGAUAGAUUGGUGCCUUCGGGAACGCAGUGACAGGUGCUGCACGGCUGUUGUCAGCUCGUGUUGUGAAAUGUUGGGUUAAGUCCCGCAACGAGCGCAACCCCUAUUGAUAGUUACCAUCAUUAAGUUGGGUACUCUAUUGAGACUGCCGCUGACAAGGCGGAGGAAGGUGGGGACGACGUCAAGUCAUCAUGGCCCUUACGACCAGGGCUACACACGUGCUACAAUGGGUAUACAGAUG
rnacentral:rRNA from 1 species